CAGCCGCCGCGGGAAAACAGAGGAUGCAAGCGUUAUCCGGAAUGAUUGGGCGUAAAGCGUCUGUAGGUGGCUUCUCAAGUCCGCCGUCAAAUCCCAGGGCUCAACCCUGGACAGGCGGUGGAAACUACCAAGCUGGAGUACGGUAGGGGCUGAGGGAAUUUCCGGUGGAGCGGUGAAAUGCGUUGGGAUCGGAAAGAACACCAACGGCGAAAGCACUCUGCUGGGCCGACACUGACACUGAGAGACGAAGGCUAGGGAAGCAAAUGGGAUUAGAUACCCGCGUAGUCCCUGUCUCUUAUAA
rnacentral:rRNA from 1 species